UUAUUUCCAUAUACAGUAAAACCUCUAUAAAA
rnacentral:sRNA from 1 species